rnacentral:rRNA from 11 species
CUCUCAGAACAGAGGCAUCUGAUUCGUCUAAGAUCCUGUCUGAUCUUGGAUGCUAAGCAGGGUCAGCCCUGGUUAGUACUUGGGUGGGAGACCGCCAACAGAAACCAGGAGCUGAAGGU